GAGCCCUGCUGCUUUGGCUGCAAGACCUUCCAGCUCUAUUCCAGUCUUUGUUAAGUCAUCAUUGUAAUACAAAGAAGUGAAUUGCACUGGAUUAGUCAAGUGUCUGCAUGGAUUUCUAAGGAAUGAGAGAAUGGAGCUCAGCAGCAAAGCCAGGCCGCUGUUGGUUGAUGAAGAGCCUUUGCACUGAGAGCGUGGAUUCUGAAAAACACCACUGGAAAAAUGCAGCGAUCGUGGUCAUCUGCAAGGAAUCAGUUUUCAAAGAAGCAUCUGAUGGACUGACACCCACUGGAGCCAGGGACAAGAUGAAAUGCACUCAUUCAAAGCAGAUUAGGACUUACUGUUCUGGAAAUCAAGUGAGUUUUGAAGAGGCUGAUGAAGCUGAAUUUCAAAGCUACCAAUCUGGUUUUUAAAGUGUGUUGGGAUUCAGACUGGCAAUAGCAAAAAGGGGUUUUUACACCACAGAGUGGUCAUCCCUAUCUGACAACGAUGGAAAACCGUGACCGUUCAAUAGCUGUUGAUGGUUCUUUUACAAGGGAUUAAUGUGAUGCCUACUGAGUGACACAGGGCAUUGCUCUCAUCUCGGGAUGAAUGUUUCCAAGGUACUGCUCUGUGAGGACCACAGCCAGCUGAGAACUGAAAGCUAUGGGAGAGUGUGGCAUGCUUUGUAGAGAAGGCAGCAGUAAGGAGAAAUGCUAAAUAUAUCAGACAAAUCAUCUCUUCUUUCAUUGAACAACUCCAUUCAUGACUUCUGAUCCUGUUGGUAAGAGCUUUGAAUUUAAUUUCUACUGUCCCCCACCCAAUAUUUCUCGUGCAUUUGUUAUAUAGCUUCCUGCAAUCUCAUUUAUUGCUCUCCAGAGCUUACAGAAUGUGUGCUUCCUGCAAACUUCAAUUUAUAUUUUUGCCAUUAACUAUAGAUACUCUUUUGUUUGCACACUUAGAGAACUUUCAGUAUUUUCAGUGUGUUAACAUGGAAGAAACUGAAAAGAAUCUAUUUCUUGGUUGGAAUUGAUCGGGUUCUCAGCUGAAUGGUUGCAUUUCAGGUUGUUGGAAUUACACAGAAGCAGCUCUUGCGUUUCCCAUUGGUUGUACUGCCUUUUCUGCGUAUCCAGGUUCAGAAGCAGCAAAACCUUGGGUUUGGGUUUCCUUUUUCAUUUGUUCCCUCGAGGAAUGCUAGUAGGGAACAGUCAAGUGAACAAGAGCUGACGCUAGCUCUGCUUUAGAAACCAUUCAUGCUUUUCAGGUGCCCAGCUCCCGAACUACUCAGGGCAGGAGGGGAAAUGUAAACAUUGUGCUGUUAUUCAACCUACUACAUAAGAGCAUUGAGCCUGACAAGGCUCUGGGUACCCCCGUGCCCCAUCCUUGCCGAGAUCGGACGCCGAUAUCCCUCCUGCUGACAUGCAAUCCAGCAGC
rnacentral:lncRNA from 1 species